rnacentral:rRNA from 1 species
GACAGGAGGUGCCAAGCGUUAGGCGGAAUCACUGGGCUUAAAGCGUGUGUAGGUGGAUGCCUAAGUGCCUUGUGAAAUCCCACGGCUCAACCGUGGAAUUGCUGGGCAUACUGGGUGUCUUGAGCCAUCCAGGGGUCGCUGGAACAAACGGUGGAGCGGUGAAAUGCGUAGAUAUCGUUUGGAACGCCAAUGGUGAAAACAGGCGACUGGGGAUGAGCUGACACUGAGACACGAAAGCCAGGGGAGCAAACGGG